rnacentral:misc_RNA from 1 species
UUUCCGUAGGUGAACCUGCGGAAGGAUCAUUAUUGUAUAACCGAGGUGCGAGGGCUGUCGCUGACCCGAAAGGUCGUGCACGCCCGAGUGCCCUCACACACAUCCAUCUCACCCCUAUGUGCACCACCGCGUGGGUCCCCCUUUGGCUUGUUCGGAGGGGGGCUUACGUUUUCACACAAACUUUGUAUGCAGUGUAGAAUGUAUUUUUUGUUUUUGCGAUCACGCAAUCAAUACAACUUUCAACAACGGAUCUCUUGGCUCUCGCAUCUAUUAAAAACUCAUC